GGGGAAUUUUGGACAAUGGGGGCAACCCUGAUCCAGCCAUGCCGCGUGCGGGAAGAAGGCCUUCGGGUUGUAAACCGCUUUCGGACAGAAAGAAAUCGCCAUUCCUAAUACGAGUGGUGGAUGACGGUACUGUAAGAAGAAGCACCGGCUAACUACGUGCCAGCAGCCGCGGUAAUACGUAGGGUGCGAGCGUUAAUCGGAAUUACUGGGCGUAAAGCGUGCGCAGGCGGAUAUUUAAGUCAGAUGUGAAAUCCCCGGGCUUAACCUGGGAAUUGCAUUUGAAACUGGAUAUCUAGAGUGCGUCAGAGGGGGGUGGAAUUCCACGUGUAGCAGUGAAAUGCGUAGAGAUGUGGAGGAACACCGAUGGCGAAGGCAGCCCCCUGGGAUGACACUGACGCUCAUGCACGAAAGCGUGGGGAGCAAAC
rnacentral:rRNA from 1 species